rnacentral:sRNA from 1 species
CCCUAGCCCUGAUAGUAGCGGCAUCCUUUUUAGGCAGUCAAAAUCGUCUAAUUCAACCAUAAAAUUGCUGCCUAAAAAGAUACAGCGGAUAGCAGGAAAUAGC